rnacentral:lncRNA from 1 species
CAAGUCUAUUUUGUCUGAUACGAGACUUGCUACUCCAGCUUUCUUUUGAUUUACAUUUGCAUGGAAUAUCUUUUUCCAUCCUCUCAUUUUCAGUCUGUAUGUGUCCCUAGGUCUGAAGUAGGACUCUUGUAGAAAGCAUACAUAUGGGUCUUGUUUUUGUAUCCAUUCAGCCAAUCUGUAUCUUUUGGUUGGAGCAUUUAAUCCAUUUACAUUUAAGGCUGUUAUCAAUAUGCAUGUUCCUAUUACCAUUUUCUUAUUUGUUUUGGGUUUGUUGUUGUAGGUCUUUUCCUUCUCUUGUGUUUCCUGCCUAGAGAAGUUCCUUUAGCAUUUGUUGUAGAGCUGGUUGGGUGGUGCUGAAUUCUCUUAGCUUAUGCUUGUCUAUAAGGUUUUUAAUUUCUCCAUCGAAUCUGAGUGAGAUCCUUGCUGGGUAGAGUAAUCUUGGUUGUAGGUUUUUCUCUUUUAUCGCUUUAAAGAUGUCCUGCCACUCCUUUCUGGCUUGCAGAGUUUGUGCUGAUUAACCUUAUGGGGAUUCCCUUGUAUGUUAUUUGCUGCUUUUCUCUUGCUGCUUUCAAUAUUUUUUCUUUGUAUUUAAUUUUUGAUAGUUUGAUUAAUAUGUGUCUUGGUAUGUUUCUCCUUGGAUUUACCUGUAUGGGACUCUCUGUGCUUCCUGGACUUGACUAUUUCCUUUCCCAUAUUAGGGAAGUUUUCAACUAUAAUCUCUUCAAGUAUUUUCUCAGUCCCUUUUUUUUUUUCCCCUUCUUCUUCUGGGAGCCCUAUAAUUCGAAUGUUGGUGCAUUUAAUGUUGUCCCAGAUGUCUUUGAGACUAUCCUCAAUUCUUUUCAUUCUUUUUUCUUUAUUCUGCUCUGCAGUAGUUAUUCCCACUAUUUUAUCUUCCAGGUCACAUACUUUCUUCUGCCUCAGUUAUUCUGCUAUUGAUUCCUUCUAGAGAAAUUUUAAUUUCAUUUAUUGUGUUGUUCAUCAUUGUUUGUUUGCUCUUUAGUUCUUCUAGGUCCUUGUUAAACGUUUCUUGUAUUUUCUCCAUUCUAUUUACAAGAUUUUGGAUCUUCUUUACUAUCAUUACUCUGAAUUUUUUUUCAGGUAGACUGCCUAUUUUUUCUUCAUUUGAUUGGUCUGGUGGGGUUUUACCUUGCUCCUUCAUCUGCUGUGUAUUUCUCUGUCUUCUCAUUUUGCUUAACUUACUGUGUUUAGGGUCUCCUUUCCUCAGGCACAGGUUCGUAGUUCCCAUUGUGUUUGGUGUCUGCCCCCAGUGGGUAAGGUUGGUUCAGUGUGUUGUGUAGACUUCCUGGUUGGGAGGAUUGGUGCCUGUGUUCUGCUGCAUAAGGCUGGAUCUCAUCUUUCUGGUGGGCAGGACUAUGUCUGGUGGUGUUUUUUGGGGUUUCUGUGACCUUAUUAUGAUUUUAGGCAGCCUCUCUGCAAAUGGGUGGUGUUGUGUUUCUGUCUUGCUAGUUGUUUGGCAUAGGGUGUCCAGCACUGUAGCUUUCUGGUCAGUGAUGGAGCUGGGUCUUAGCAUUGAGACAGAGAUCUCUGGGAGAGCUUUCACCAUUUGAUAUUACUUGUGCUGGGAGGUCUCUCGUGGAGCAGUGUCCUGAACUCAGCUCUCCCACCUCAGAGGCUCAGGCCUGACACCUGGCUGGAGCACCAAGAACCUGUAAACCACAUGGUUCAGAAGAAAAGGGAGAAAGAAAGAAAGAAAGAAAGAAAGAAAGAAAGAAAGAAAGAGAGAGAGAGAGAGAGAAAGAGAGUUAUUAAAAUUAAAAAUUAAGAAAAUUAU